GAUGAACGCUGGCGGUAUGCUUAACACAUGCAAGUCGAACGGACUCUCCGGAGUUGGUGGCGGACGGGUGAGUAACGCGUCGGAAGCUGGCUUUGGGUUCGGGACACCACCUGGAAGCGGUGGCUAAUGCAGGAUGUGCCACGCUGAAAAAGAGAAAUUGCCUGAAGAUGAGCCAGCGUCUGUUUAGCUCGUUGGUGAGGUAAAGACUCACCAAGGCAGCGAUCAGUAGCUGGUCUGAGAGGAUGACCAGCCACACUGGCACUGAGACACGGCACAGACGCAUACUGGAGGCAGCAGUGGGGAAUGUUCCGCAAUGAGCGAGUGGCUGACGGAGCAAUACCGCUUGAGGGAAGAAGUUGCUUGGGUUGUAAACCUCUUUGCUUAGGGAAGAACAAAAUGACGGUACCUAAGGAAUCAGCACCGGCUAACUCCGUG
rnacentral:rRNA from 1 species